rnacentral:sRNA from 1 species
ACUAAAUUUUUCUAUUUAAAAUAUAUAUCUCAGCAUGCAUGCUAUUACUUCUGUGCUCAACACCAAUUAUUGAGUUGGAAAUAUUUCAAUACAAUCUCCACCCGUUGUCGUAAGACAGAUUUCGGUGGUGAUUUGAACUUUUUUACUACAAUUAGUAAAUCUUUUGGGUGUAUUGAAAAUUUGGGGUAGAUGUGUGUUUUGAGAGUUUUUGUAAUUGCAUCCUGAUAAAAGGUUGCAAUGGGAUGUAUAGGAGAUUUGAGUACUUCGGUGUUCAAAAGAAUGAGAAGUUUCUUAUGUGAAAAUUGUAGAGAAGAGUUACAAUUUUUGUA